AAUCAACGCUGGCGGCGUGCCUCAGACAUGCAAGUCGAACGAUUAAAGCUCUCUUCGGAGAGUGUAUAGAGUGGCGCACGGGUGAGUAACACGUAAGUAAUCUACUCUCGAGUGGGAAUAACAACCGGAAACGGUUGCUAAUACCGCAUAAUGCAGCGGCACCGCAAGGUGACAGUUGUUAAAGAUUUAUCGCUUGAGGAGGAGCUUGCGGCAGAUUAGCUAGUUGGUAGGGUAACGGCUUACCAAGGCUACGAUCUGUAACCGGUCUAAGAGGACGGUCGGUCACACUGACACUGAAUAACGGGUCAGACUCCUACGGGAGGCAGCAGUCGGGAAUUUUGGGCAAUGGGCGAAAGCCUGACCCAGCAACGCCGCGUGAAGGAUGAAGUAUUUCGGUAUGUAAACUUCGAAAGAAUAGGAAGAAUUAAUGACGGUACUAUUUAUAAGGUCCGGCUAACUACGUGCCAGCAGCCG
rnacentral:rRNA from 1 species